rnacentral:tRNA from 1 species
GUGGCUGUAGCUUAAUGGGCAGAGUGCUUGGCUGUGAACCAAGCGGGUACGCGUUCGAUCCGCGUCAGUCACCCCA